UCCUGGUUACAGGGCCCUGCUGCAGUGGGAUGGCUUCAGAGGAAGACAGACCUCAACCCAGCAGGAUUUCAGGCAGGAGAGAGUUCAGGACAACCCACUGGCCUUCACCUCUGGGAUAUUUCAAAAGCGACAUGCAGGCAUGACAAGCCCAGGCUAUUUCUCAUUCACAGGAGGUCAGUGGAAGAAAAAGCUAGAGAUGCUCUUGAGCUGGGCCAGAAGGAUCUGCUGCUGAGCCCACGGCCCCAACCUCAGACAGACCCAUUUCAAAUCCACUGUGACUUCUGGGAGAAGUACAUUUAUGUAUGCCCUGUCUAGGGGACUGUGUGGGCAGCCCGGAGAACAGGCGUCAGCAAAUGAUGGCAAACUGAAAAAUGUUUUUUUUUUUUUAUACUUUCAAAUGAGUGAAAAAAAUAUAUAACAUUUUGUAAGACGAACCAUCUGCAUUCAAAUUUCAGUGUGCAUAAAUAAAAGUUUACGGGAACACGGUGAGGUUCAUUCAUUUGCAUACUCUGGCUGUUCUCAAGGGCCAGUUAAGGAGUUGCUGCACACAGGGUGUGACCCACGAUAUUUACCAUCUGGCCCUUGACCGAAGAAGCUUACGGAGCCCUGCUCUGGAGCUGGGAUGGACUCGGCGCCAACACAGGCGGGGUGAAGCAAAGCCCCGGGGCACUAGGCCUUUCUUAGGUGGGGGAUGGCCCGAAGCUGCCCCGCUCCCGGCCCCCAGGUCUGCGAGACUGGGGGCCCUUCUUGUACAAAUGAGCAGAGAAGAGUGAGCAGAUUCUGAGCCUCAGGGACCUUCAUCCUGUCUCCAGGCUGUUCUCCGACAACCCUUCUCUGUGCCCAGGACGAAAUGACUGAAACACAUAGGCAACUUGCCCAAGGCCACACAACCAAGUGACGGAGCUGGGGUUUGAACUGCUGGCCGACUGAAUCCAGAAUUCUCCUCAAAAGUAGGCAUCGGCCCCGCGGGAGCAGGUGGAUGACAGCGAACCCCAGGCCUUCCUACUUUCCUGACCGGCCGGGUCUGCACUCCCCUGAGGCACCAGCAGGGGCCAGGCAUCCAACCAAACGACAGCUCCUGGAUUCUGGGGUGACCACCUGCAUGCCUCAAGCCUCCCACUUACUGUUCUUGGGACUGCAGCCUGCCUGCCCCACCUCUGUUUAUCCCUUUUUUUUUAGGUCACAUCUGUUGCUCAUCCCCAGCUGUUACCUACAGGUUUAACUGGUUUUCCAGAUCACCUGUCAGAGUCAACCUCUUAGGAGAUAAGCUGAGUCCUUGCCAGAUAAAUUUCUGCACCCUGCCUCUGGCAUCUUGCAAUAGUAGAAACUGUGUUAACAGUGUGAUCUCAUAGCUACCACUGACAUGGAUUGUGUUGUUCCAGGCUCAUAACAACCCCGUGAAGCUUGUUGGAGUGUACAUGUACCCACUUCCCAGGUAAAGAAGGAGACACUCUGCUUAGUCAUCUUGGUUACCACCUGGGCUGUGGGCUAGAGAAGUCAUCCUGGAAAUGUCUUCUGACUGCAAGAGAAGUCAUCAUUUGUGCGCUGAGAAGACCGCAAGGACCCUUGGCUAUGCCCUGGAGAUGCUGCAGCCAGAAAUGUGAAGGCUCACAGCAAAGUCCAGAAGCUGCAGUUCGUCAAAGCCAGGACUGGGGCAAAGGCAGUAGGUUAUGUUGUCGGAGGGAAUGGUUAGAUCCCAUCAUUGUUUUAGUUAUUAGUGAUAUUUUGUUCAUCACAGAUUUUUGGCAUUAAUUUUUUUAUUUUUAAAAAUAUUGCACUCAAAUAUAAUUUAUCUUGAUUACU